GAUGAACGCUGGCGGCGUGCUUAACACAUGCAAGUCGAACGGAAAGGCCCUGCUUUUGUGGGGUGCUCGAGUGGCGAACGGGUGUGUAACACGUGAGUAACCUGCACGUGACUUUGGGAUAACUUCAGGAAACUGGGGAUAAUACCGGAUAGGAGCUCCUGCUGCAUGGUGGGGGUUGGACAGUUUCGGCGGUUGGGGAUGGACUCGCGGCAUAUCAGAUUGGUGGUGGGGUAGUGGCUUACCAAGGCUUUGAGGGGUAGCCGGCCUGAGAGGGUGACCGGCCACAUUGGGACUGAGAUACGGCCCAGACUCCUACGGGAGGCAGGAGUGGGGAAUAGUGCACAGUGGGCGGAAGCCUGAUGCAGCAACGCCGCGUGCGGGAUGACGGCCUUCGGUUUGUAAUCCGCUUUCGCCUGUGACGAAGCGUGAGUGACGGUAAUGGGUAAAGAAGCACCGGCUAACUACGUG
rnacentral:rRNA from 1 species